rnacentral:rRNA from 1 species
GAAGUAAUGCUUGGGAACUUGCCUUUGCGAGGGGGAUAACAGUUGGAAACGACUGCUAAUACCGCAUAANGUCUACGGACCAAACGGGGCUUAGGCUCCGGCGCAAAGAGAGGCCCAAGUGAGAUUAGCUAGUUGGUAAGGUAAAGGCUUACCAAGGCAACGAUCUCUAGCUGUUCUGAGAGGAAGAUCAGCCACACUGGAACUGAGACACGGUCCAGACUCCUACGGGAGGCAGCAGUGGGGAAUAUUGCACAAUGGGGGAAACCCUGAUGCAGCCAUGCCGCGUGUGUGAAGAAGGCCUUCGGGUUGUAAAGCACUUUCAGUUGUGAGGAAAAGUUAGUAGUUAAUACCUGCUAGCCGUGACGUUAACAACAGAAGAAGCACCGGCUAACUCCGUGCCAGCAGCCGCGGUAAUACGGAGGGUGCGAGCGUUAAUCGGAAUUACUGGGCGUAAAGCGCACGCAGGCGGUUUGUUAAGCUAGAUGUGAAAGCCCCGGGCUCAACCUGGGAUGGUCAUUUAGAACUGGCAGACUAGAGUCUUGGAGAGGGGAGUGGAAUUCCAGGUGUAGCGGUGAAAUGCGUAGAUAUCUGGAGGAACAUCAGUGGCGAAGCGACUCCCUGGCCAAAAGACUGACGCUCAUGUGCGAAAGUGUGGUUAGCGAACAGGAUUAGAUACCCUGGUAGUCCACACCGUAAACCCUUUCUACUAGCUUGUU